GAUGAACGCUAGCUACAGGCUUAACACAUGCAAGUCGAGGGGAAACGACAUCGAAAGCUUGCUUUUGAUGGGCGUCGACCGGCGCACGGGUGAGUAACGCGUAUCCAACCUGCCCAUCACUUGGGAAUAACCUUGCGAAAGUAAGACUAAUACCCAAUGAUAUCCCACGAAGGCAUCGGAAUGGGAUUAAAGAUUUAUCGGUGAUGGAUGGGGAUGCGUCUGAUUAGCUUGUUGGCGGGGUAACGGCCCACCAAGGCAACGAUCAGUAGGGGUUCUGAGAGGAAGGUCCCCCACAUUGGAACUGAGACACGGUCCAAACUCCUACGGGAGGCAGCAGUGAGGAAUAUUGGUCAAUGGGCGGGAGCCUGAACCAGCCAAGUAGCGUGCAGGAAGACGGCCCUAUGGGUUGUAAACUGCUUUUAUAAGGGAAUAAAGUGGGUCACGUGUGACUUUUUGCAUGUACCUUAUGAAUAAGGACCGGCUAAUUCCGUG
rnacentral:rRNA from 1 species